UAACUCAUUUACUUGCUCGACGAGUAUAGUCAAAAUAUAGCAAAAUUUUUUCAAAGUUCCGUCAUGAGGACCAAUGCAAUAGAUAGAUUUCUAUGAAAUCUACUUUCAGUUCGACUGCCGAAUGGUCUUUUUCUUUCUAUGUUUUCCUUAUUUUUGUUAAACUUUUGAUUAUGCGUAGUCGUGAACUCUUGCAGCAAGGUUAUCAAUUGAUCGUGUACAUAUGAUUCUAUUUCCUCAAUAGAAUAUAUACUGAGCAGUUUGUAUAGGAAAAAUAACAAAUUUUCGAUUUAGUAUAAAUUAGAUAUAAAUCGAUUGCCCGAUUGUAAAUAUUUAUUGAUCAUUAAAAGAUUACACACGCUUAAUAUUAAAUCUUUAAUUGAGUUUGAUAAAAAAAAUGUCAUUUAAAGUUUUGUUAUUAUCAAUUAUCUUCAUAGUAUCAAUCUGUACUAACACAAUUCAAGCAUGCGAUGGAGAACGAUGCGAUCCUUAUGGUCAGGGUCAAUGUUGCUUUGGUUAUCUAUGUGACCUUGAUUCGAGGGAAUGCUCAUCAGUUUAUUUCUACGGCAACAAUAGUCCUUUUUUUGGGAAAUGAAAAAGUUAGAAAACCACUUUAGUCUAAACAAAAUUUCUGAAAUGACAUCGAUUGUAAUAUCAAUUGAAUUAACAUUAUAAAUCGCAGAAAUUAUUUCAAAACAAAGAAA